rfam:Buttiauxella agrestis ATCC 33320 GBAG.assembly.022, whole genome shotgun sequence.
UUCUGUAAACGGUAGUUUGUGACUGAUGUCACUUUAAACUAUGGGCUAAGCUCAGUAUCAUCACUACAGACCAAACCCUCACUCUUACCGGUGAGGGUUUUCUUUUGUA